AUUGUUUCGCUGAACGUCUCCCGACAAAUAUGGCGGAGGCCUCUACGUGGAGUGAUGACGAUGAGGACUCUGAAGAAUUAAGCUUCAUUGAGAAUGCAAUAGAUAUGUUCGAAAGGCAUAAGCGAGAAUCCAAUAGGUAAGUGUUUCUUUGUUUUGAUUGGGAUUCUAGAUUAAUCCAUAUGUCACAAGACACAUUGG